rnacentral:rRNA from 1 species
AUUGAACGCUGGCGGCAUGCUUUACACAUGCAAGUCGAACGGUAACAGGUUAAGCUGACGAGUGGCGAACGGGUGAGUAAUGCAUCGGAACGUGCCCGAUCGUGGGGGAUAACGCAGCGAAAGCUGCGCUAAUACCGCAUACGAUCUGAGGAUGAAAGCGGGGGACCGUAAGGCCUCGCGCGAUCGGAGCGGCCGAUGUCAGAUUAGGUAGUUGGUGGGGUAAAGGCUCACCAAGCCAACGAUCUGUAGCUGGUCUGAGAGGACGACCAGCCACACUGGGACUGAGACACGGCCCAGACUCCUACGGGAGGCGGCAGUGGGGAAUUUUGGACAAUGGGCGAAAGCCUGAUCCAGCAAUGCCGCGUGCAGGAAGAAGGCCGUCGGGUUGUAAACUGCUUUUGUACGGAGCGAAAAGGCUCUCUCUAAUACAGGGGGCUCAUGACGGUACCGUAAGAAUAAGCACCGGCUAACUACGUGCCAGCAGCCGCCGUAAAAC